UACGAAGGGGGCUAGCGUUGCUCGGAUUGACUGGGCGUAAAGGGCGCGUAGGCGGUUCGUACAGUCAGACGUGAAAUUCCUGGGCUCAACCUGGGGGCUGCGUUUGAUACGUGCGGACUUGAGUGCGGAAGAGGGUCGUGGAAUUCCCAGUGUAGAGGUGAAAUUCGUAGAUAUUGGGAAGAACACCGGUGGCGAAGGCGGCGACCUGGUCCGAUACUGACGCUGAGGCGCGAAAGCGUGGGAGCAAACAGG
rnacentral:rRNA from 1 species